GUAGCAAACAGGAUUAGAUACCCUGGUAGUCCACACCGUAAACGUUGGGCACUAGGUGUGGGGAGGAAUCAACCCUUUCCGUGCCGUAGCUAACGCAUUAAGUGCCCCGCCUGGGGAGUACGGCCGCAAGGCUAAAACUCAAAGGAAUUGGCGGGGGCCCGCACAAGCGGCGGAGCAUGUUGCUUAAUUCGAGGCAACGCGAAGAACCUUACCUAGGUUGAACUACGCAGGAAUAGCCACAGAGAUGUGGUGUCCUUCGGGGCCUGCGAUAGGUGGUGCAUGGCUGUCAUCAGCUCGUGUCGUGAGAUGUUGGGUUAAGUCCCGCAACGAGCGCAACCCUUAUCCUAUGUUGCCAGCGCGUAAUGGCGGGGACUCGUGGGAGACUGCCGGGGUCAACUCGGAGGAAGGUGGGGACGACGUCAAGUCAUCAUGCCCCUUAUGUCUAGGGCUGCAAACAUGCUACAGUGGCUGGUACAAAGGGCUGCGAAACCGCGAGGUCGAGCGAAUCCCAAAAAGCCAGUCUCAGUUCGGAUUGAAGUCUGCAACUCGACUUCAUGAAGCUGGAGUCGCUAGUAAUCCCGGAUCAGCAACGCCGGGGUGAAUACGUUCCCGGGCCUUGUACACACCGCCCGUCACACCACGAAAGUUGGCAACACCCGAAGUCAGUGGCCGAACCCCUCGGGGACGGAGCCGCCGAAGGUGGGGUUAGCGAUUGGA
rnacentral:rRNA from 1 species